rnacentral:tRNA from 1 species
GCCCGGAUGGUGAAAUUGGUAGACACGCUAGUUUCAGGGACUAGUGCUCGCAAGGGCGUGGAGGUUCGAGUCCUCUUCCGGGCA